UACGUAGGUGGCAAGCGUUGUUCGGAAUUAUUGGGCGUAAAGAGCUCGUAGGCGGUGUGUCACGUCGGCCGUGAAAACCUGCAGCUUAACUGUGGGCGUGCGGUCGAUACGGGCAUCACUGGAGUUCGGCAGGGGAGACUGGAAUUCCUGGUGUAGCGGUGAAAUGCGUAGAUAUCUGGAGGAACACCGGUGGCGAAGGCGACAUCCUGGACCGGAAUUGACGCUGAGGCGCGAAAGCCAGGGGAGCAAACGGG
rnacentral:rRNA from 1 species